GUUUGGAGGUUGUUCAACAGCUUUUAAUGGUGGUUUUGAGCUGAAGAAAAUGGUGUGGUUUCAGCAGGUUGUGGGGUCGAUUUAAACGGCUAUUUCAGAUCAAUCGAUUUGAGGCUGGUGUAGCCGGGUUGGAAGAUGACGGCAGGGGCGUGAAAAGGAUGGGGCCUUGGAGAAUAUUUCGGCCGCUGCUCCCUUUCUCCAUUCCUUUUGCUUGUUGCCGUUGUCUCUCUCUCUUCUGAAGAGAGAGUGACGAUGGAGAAGGUCUCACUGUUCGUCUUCAAGUGAACUAGAGAAAUGCGGCUUGAAGUUUUCAGGGUUCUGGGUGAACGGUUUUUGGCGCGAAGAAGAACGCAG
rnacentral:lncRNA from 1 species